CGUAGGGUGCGAGCGUUAAUCGGAAUUAUUGGGCGUAAAGGGCGCGUAGGCGGCCUGGCAAGUGGAAGGUGAAAUCCCUCGGCUUAACCGAGGAACUGCCUCCCAAACUGCUUGGCUUGAGACCGGGAGAGGUGAGUGGAAUUCCCAGUGUAGCGGUGAAAUGCGUAGAUAUUGGGAGGAACACCAGUGGCGAAGGCGGCUCACCGGACCGGUACUGACGCUGAUGCGCGAAAGCGUGGGGAGCAAACGGGAUUAGAUACCCCGGUAGUCCACGCCGUAAACGAUGAAUGCUUGGUGUAGCGGGUAUCGACCCCUGCUGUGCCGAAGUCGACACAUUAAGCAUUCCGCCUGGGGAGUACGGUCGCAAGGCUG
rnacentral:rRNA from 1 species